AGAGUUUGAUCCUGGCUCAGGACGAACGCUGGCGGCGCGCCUAACACAUGCAAGUCGAACGAGAGAUGAAGAGCUUGCUCUUCAAAUCGAGUGGCGAACGGGUGAGUAACGCGUGAGGAACCUGCCUCAAAGAGGGGGACAACAGUUGGAAACGACUGCUAAUACCGCAUAAGCCCACAGCUCGGCAUCGAGCAGAGGGAAAAGGAGUAAUCCGCUUUGAGAUGGCCUCGCGUCCGAUUAGCUAGUUGGUGAGGUAAUGGCCCACCGAAGGCGACGAUCGGUAGCCGGACUGAGAGGUUGAACGGCCACAUUGGGACUGAGACACGGCCCAGACUCCGUACGGGAGCCA
rnacentral:rRNA from 1 species